rnacentral:rRNA from 1 species
UACGUAGGGGGCAAGCGUUGUCCGGAUUUAUUGGGCGUAAAGAGCGUGUAGGCGGCCAUGUAGGUCCGUUGUGAAAACUCGAGGCUCAACCUCGAGACGCCGAUGGAAACCAUGUGGCUAGAGUCCGGAAGAGGAGAGUGGAAUUCCUGGUGUAGCGGUGAAAUGCGCAGAUAUCAGGAAGAACACCGGUGGCGAAGGCGGCAUCCUGGACCGGUAUUGACGCUGAGGAGCGAAAGCCAGGGGAGCAAACGGG